rnacentral:rRNA from 1 species
AAUGAACGUUGGCGGCGUGGAUUAGGCAUGCAAGUCGAGCGGACGGAGGAGCUUGCUCCAAAGUUAGCGGCGGAAGGGAUAGUAACGCGUAGAUAACCAACCCCCUGGUCAGGGAUAGCCGUUGGAAACGACGGGUAAUACCUGAUAACAUCCCCGGAUCAAAGGUGCGAUUCCGCCGGGGGACGGGUCUGCGUCCUACUAGCUAGUUGGUGAGGUAACGGCUCACCAAGGCGACGAUGGGUACCGGGCGUCAGAGCGUGACCCGGAUCACUGGGACUGAGACACUGCCCAGACACCUACGGGUGGCUGCAGUCGAGAAUCUUCGGCAAUGGACGAAAGUCUGACCGAGCGACGCCGCGUGUAUGAUGAAGGCCUUCGGGUUGUAAAGUACUGUAAGUUGGGAGGAAGUGUAUGGGGGUUCUCCCCUAUAUUUGACCUAUCUUCAAAGUAAGCUCGGGCUAAGUUCGUGCCAGCAGCCGCAGUAACAC